rnacentral:rRNA from 1 species
UCGAACGAUGAAGCCCCUUCGGGGGUGGAUUAGUGGCGAACGGGUGAGUAACACGUGGGCAAUCUGCCCUGCACUCUGGGACAAGCCCUGGAAACGGGGUCUAAUACCGGAUACGACCAUCUAAGGCAUCUCAUGGUGGUGGAAAGCUCCGGCGGUGCAGGAUGAGCCCGCGGCCUAUCAGCUUGUUGGUGAGGUAACGGCUCACCAAGGCGACGACGGGUAGCCGGCCUGAGAGGGCGACCGGCCACACUGGGACUGAGACACGGCCCAGACUCCUACGGGAGGCAGCAGUGGGGAAUAUUGCACAAUGGGCGCAAGCCUGAUGCAGCGACGCCGCGUGAGGGAUGACGGCCUUCGGGUUGUAAACCUCUUUCAGCAGGGAAGAAGCGUAAGUGACGGUACCUGCAGAAGAAGCGCCGGCUAACUACGUGCCAGCAGCCGCGGUAAUUC